AUCAAAGCUCAUGUAGAAACAAACAAACUAAUGAACAAAAGAUUUUCUCCUUCAUUUCUGUCAAACAAAGCUAUGACACGUUUCCAGUGGUUAGUAUUAUGGUUGCUAGGCAACCUGGGCAGCGCAACGGAGGCUUUUUUUUUGUUUUUUUUAACUUUAUUGACAAACAACAACAAUAACCCGACGGACCAGCUGCAGGAACCAAAACAUGCUAGGUAAGUGUGUUUUAAUCUCAUUAUUCAUAUAUAGUGAUGAAGGAUUUGUAGGCUAGAAGUUAGGCUAACACACUUACUUCACAUCUUUUCUUUCCUCAAAAAAACUAUAGAUCCUCCACUUCUUUUAAGUGUCUCUCAGUUCAAAGUCUCCUAAUUCUUAGCAUAAAUUUCGUUUCUGCAACUGGUCCGGCGGGUUAUAGUCUCCCCAGAAACACUUCCCUUGUACUUUUGGAAAUCUGUUUUUUCCUAUUUCUUUUUUCUGUUUUCUUUUUUCCUAUUUCCGUUGUGUUUUGUGUGCUUUUGCAGUGUUUUUCUUAUUGCUGGCGUUUUCUUAAGUUGCAGUCCGUUUUGGCCUCUCAGGGCCACCGUAGAAGUCCCAGUCACACAGGCCUACAGAUGUGACAGUGAUACCCUUCACUGCUUUGGUCGCUAGCAUGCUCCUGUGAUCGUUUGCAAACACUGGCCAGCUACCCUGUGAGCUGCAAUGAAAAUGUGAAAUGUUGCAUUCUUUGAAAUAUGUUGGUUGCAGUGCUAAGGCACAACAACUCUUACUCUGAAGGCAGUUUUUGAAGCACUUUAUUAAAUUACACUGCCACUCAUUAGUAGUCACCAAGCAUUUCCAGACGAACAAGAAAAACUUCCAUCAACUGUGGCAAUCUGCAACCAAAGGAACUACUUGAGAGUUUUUGAUGCACCAGCUUCUUUCCAACCAAUUUUAUUUUAGCAACAGGUAUCUCCACCAUUACACACAAAGCUUUUAUAUACUUAUUACAGAUCGGACAGGUUUCUUUAAAAAAAAAAAAACACCUAAAAACCUGGUGUAAUAGUGACAUGGGCAGUUUAAUAUUGGCAUAAGUAAGAAAGUGUAUAAGGGCUGAACACUCCAGCUCUGUCAGGACUGCAGCUACCUACUGUGUUUUUUUGGGAAGCAGCCAGCAUCACACUUUCCUGAAAAGCCUAAAUCAGUUCCUAAGGCACUUAAAAUCUUAAACCUCUCAGAUUGUGAGGCGAGGAGCACAUGGCAUGAUAAUCUCAGUGUUUAAACAGAGGAAAUGGACAGGCAGUUUUUGAUCCGGGCAGAAACGCUGGAGCCAUUUAUAGAUAGAUGAAAAAUAAAUGGAAUGAAGUCAAAGAAACAUUGUAUGUAGCAAAAGGUACGACAACUGCCUCCUUAGCCCCAUGAGAUGAGAAGACGGGGAAAAAAAUCAUAAUGCUCAAGUUUGAGUCUUAUUUCUUUUCCUGGCCUUGAUAUAAGACAUCCCCUGUACCUGCUGCUUUCAUCGUUUCUAAAUAACAGCUCAGGCUUCUCACUCUUGAUAUGAUUUCUGGGUUUUGCUUACUUCACUGCAGCACUUGGGGUAUGCACAUAAGAAAAAACACACUCAACUUGUAAUCUCCCUUGUGCCAAGAGCUGUGAUGUGACCUUAACAGUACAAUAUAUUUGAGUUUGGAAAUCAAAUUACAUAUGCCUUUCACAUAAAUAUACAUUCAAAUCAUGGGCAGUCUGGGAGAAAAGAAAUGGGUAAUUUACAUUUACUGUAUUGAUUUCCCCAAAAGUGCCCUGGCAGCAAAUCAACUUCUAAGCUCAUAUACUUUUCUUCGCCGUGUCGCCACUUACAGACAAAAAAAAGCAAACUGUUUUGCACUCUCGCUUUUAUUUCAUUUUGGAUUCAGCAUUUUUAUCCAAUUGGGGAAAAGAUAUUUCAAUGGUGCAAAAAGUCAUUCUGAAGAGUCAGUCAUCUCUCAGUCCUCCCGCCUUCAUCCCUGCUUUCUCUCUUGCUCUCUCUCCUCCCUGGCAGUAAUUGUGUCCAGGGCUAAUAGGUGCUUACAUUAGCAUGUUUAUACAUUAUUCAUACGUCUCUGUUGGAAUGCACUGUACUGCUGAUGUCUUAUGAAAUCAACAUAACAUAUACUUCUAAACUCUACCUGAAUUUGAUUAACAUAUGGUUCGGGCCAGAUAGGGCUAGAAAUUUAUGCUAGCUGGUGAAAAAUAAACUUGAAAAAAAAAGAAAAAAACUAAUGGAGAAAAUAAAUCAAUUGGACUUUGGUAAGAGGCCGAAAGAAUCCACCUGCCAAGCUCGCACUUGACGACAUGAGUCCAAAGCCCGUGUCCGUGUCCGAGUGUAUUUACAUUAGCACGUACAUCUGUACACACGCGCUUGUGAAGCACCCCUGUCCCAGCCUGUUCGCUUGGUACGACACGUCUGACCUUGGUGUCCUCUGCGCUUGGCACUGAGACGAGAGCCCUGUCUAAUCACACUGAGCCAUGCCUCAGCUCCUGCAGGAUUUGGCUCGCCACCACCCUGACAAUUUUUGACUCCACAUGGCCCUUCUGUGGCUCGACAGCUAAAUACCAACACAUGCUGCCAUCAAUAGCGUUAAAUGCCAAUUACAUGCUCUCCCCCAGACUUUACUGGCAAUUAAUGGCAUUGGAGCAAAGCUGUCCUGUUAUAGCUUUAAUUGAUGUAUGCUCCGUUCUCUUGUUGUUGUUGUUUGUAACCUUGCCACAGUCACGUUGACCUUAUAUUUAGAGGCUUGGACAGUACAGCUAGAGGCAGGAUAAUUAAAGAUGAACUAUUAUACUCAUUUCCACCUCCAUAUAUAUUUACUUGAGAGCUGUACCAGGGUAGCUUUGCAUGAUUCCGUGUUGAAAAUAAUCCCUAUUAAUUUGACGCCAUGACUUGGUUCUGCCCCUCA
ensembl:lncRNA